rnacentral:lncRNA from 1 species
GCUCAUUUCCCCAGUAUGGAAAUCAGUGCGAAAGAGCAACCCGGCUGAGGAGGAGAGGGCUAAGGUGUGAAAAGGUCCUGCAGGGGAAGGGAAGCACGCUCUUAAUCCUCAAGAGACGCUGCCUCCCGUGGAAAGAAAUGCAAAUGAAAAGACGACCCAGUAGUUUUGCCGAUUGCAGAGUCAAAAAUAGUGCUCCUCCGAAGCGGUUGGUGGGAAUGGGGGAGAGGAGUUUCCUAACCCGCGGUGGGAGGACAGACGGCGGUGGGAGGACGCACGGCGCGGCUCCCCCAGGGCCGUUAGCCACACACCCGCCCCCCGCAGCACCGGGCGCAUGCGCACUGCUAAGCGCAGCUUAGGCUGGGGGUCGGGCGGCCUCUCUGCCUUCAAUGGGAAGCCCCCCCGCCGCGCCGUGGGCCGCUGUUCGUAGCUCCUGAUUCAAGAAUAGGGAACAAACUCCAAGGCCCGAGCUAACAACGGGGGCAGAACACAUUGGGGUGAGAGGAAGAGAAUAAAGAAUACAGAUAUAUAUUUUCCUUCCGCUGCUGGAAGAGCCCUGGAGGGACAGAACAGG